UACGUAGGAGGCGAGCGUUAUCCGGAUUUACUGGGCGUAAAGAGGGCGUAGGCGGUCCUUCAAGUCGGAUGUGAAAUCUCCCGGCUUAACUGGGAGGAGUCAUUCGAAACUGCUGGACUAGAGGGUAACAGAGGGAAGCGGAAUUCCCGGUGUAGUGGUGAAAUGCGUAGAUAUCGGGAGGAACACCAGUGGCGAAAGCGGCUUCCUGGGUUAUUUCUGACGCUGAGGCUCGAAAGUGUGGGGAG
rnacentral:rRNA from 1 species